UACGAUAGGCGCAAACGUUAUUCGGAAUUACUGGGCUUAAAGAGUUCGUAGGCGGCGCGGAAAGUAGGGUGUGAAAGCCCUCGGCUCAACCGAGGAAUUGCGCUCCAAACUGCCGUGCUUGAGGAACCUAGAGGUGAGCAGAACUGAUGGUGGAGCGGUGAAAUGCGUUGAUAUCAUCAGGAAUACCGGAGGCGAAGGCGGCUCACUGGGGGUUUUCUGACGCUGAGGGACGAAAGCCAGGGUAGCGAACGGG
rnacentral:rRNA from 1 species